rnacentral:tRNA from 1 species
GCGGCCAUAGCUCAGUCUGGUAGAGCACCCGAUAGAUUCGGAAUGUCGCUGGUUCGAAUCCGGCUGGCUGCCCCA